AGAGUUUGAUCCUGGCUCAGAUUGAACGCUGGCGGCGUGCCUAACACAUGCAAGUCGAGCGGUAACAGGCGUAGCAAUACGUGCUGACGAGCGGCGAACGGGUGAGUAAUGCUUCGGAAUCUACCCAGUAGUGGGGAAUAACCAAUCGAAAGGUUGGCUAAUACCGCAUACGUCCUACGGGAGAAAGCGGGGGAUCGCAAGACCUCGCGCCAUUGGAUGAGCCGAAGCCGGAUUAGCUAGUUGGUAGGGUAACGGCCUACCAAGGCGACGAUCCGUAGCUGGUCUGAGAGGACGACCAGCCACACUGGGACUGAGACACGGCCCAGACUCCUACGGGAGGCAGCAGUGGGGAAUAUUGGACAAUGGGGGAAACCCUGAUCCAGCGACGCCGCGUGUGUGAAGAAGGCCUGCGGGUUGUAAAGCACUUUUAGUGGGGAUGAAAAGUGCAGAGCUAACACCUCUGCAUCUUGACCUAACCCACAGAAAAAGCACCGGCUAACUCUGUGCCAGCAGCCGCGGUAAUACAGAGGGUGCGAGCGUUAAUCGGAAUUACUGGGCGUAAAGCGUGCGUAGACGGUAAUGUAAGUCGGGUGUGAAAGCCCCGGGCUCAACCUGGGAAUUGCAUUCGAGACUGCAUUGCUUGGGUGCGGAAGAGGGAAGCGGAAUUUCCGGUGUAGCGGUGAAAUGCGUAGAUAUCGGAAGGAACACCAGUGGCGAAAGCGGCUUCCUGGUCCGACACCGACGUUCAGGCACGAAAGCGUGGGGAGCAAACAGGAUUAGAUACCCCAGUAGUCC
rnacentral:rRNA from 1 species